rnacentral:rRNA from 1 species
GAAAGCAUGCCUGCUUCAGUGUCCAAUCCAUUUGAUUCCGGCGACAUAAUCCACAUCUGUGGUGUUGUUGUCUGAGUGUGGUUGUGUGUUAAGGUGCUCUCGGGUCCUUGACGCAUUCAGAGCAUGGGGAUUUCAUUUGGUCGCACAACGAAUCAUACAUCUCUGAUGUUGCUUGUUGGUGCAUGUCCGGAGGGAACCCUUAGUUCGAGUAUUGCUUAUACCUUUUCAAGACAUGAAGUCAGGUCAGCAAACCCGCUGAAUUUAAGCAUAUAAGUAAGCGGAGGAUAAGAAACUAAAUAGGAUUCCCUUAGUAAUGGCGAAUGAACAGGGAUCAGCUCAGGAUGGAAAUUGGGGCCUUUGGCCUUGAAUUGUAAUCUGGAGAUGUACCACCAACUGGGGCGUAGAUGUAAGCCUUUUGGAAAAGAGCAUCAAUGAGGGUGAGAGUCCCGCAUGUCAUCUGCAGUCCCCAGUGCACGGUGUACCUUCUAAGAGUCACGUUCCUCGGGAUUGGAGCGCAAAUUGGGUGGUAAAUUUCAUCUAAAGCUAAAUAUUGCUUCGAGACCGAUAGCAAACAAGUACCAUGAGGGAAAGGUGAAAAGGACUUUGAGAAGAGAGUUAAAAGUGCCUGAAAUUGCUGAAAGGGAAGCGAAUGGAACCAGUGCAGCUUGGCAAGAUUGUUACGUGCCAGUGUGAUUGCUUGCUGCCUCAACGCAAGUGUGGCAGUAGGUCUUGAGCAUGACGCUCGUGGUGCUUCUUGCCUUGUGUGUCAACACCAGUUCACGGCUGAGGAAAACUUCAGGGACAUGGUAGCCUGUCUCCGGGUGGGUGAAUGUGCUUGCUGGAACUCAUCUGUGGUCUAGCUGUUGACUAAAUGGUUCCAUCCGACCCGUCUUGAACACGGACCAAGGAGUCUAACAUAUGUGCAAGUUCACGGGUGGUUAAACCUGCUUGCGAAAUGAAAGUGACUGCUGGGAUCUUUGCACCAGCAACCGACCAAUCAAUUGAGAGAGGUUUGAGUAUGAGCAUAUCUGUUAGGACCCGAAAGAUGGUGAACUAUGCCUGUGAAGGGCAAACUCAGGGGAAACUCUGAUGGAGGCUCGUAGCGAUACUGACGUGCAAAUCGUUCGUCAUACAUGGGUAUAGGGGCGAAAGACUAAUCGAACCAUCUAGUAGCUGGUUCCCUCCGAAGUUUCCCUCAGGAUAGCUGGAGUUGAACAGUUUUAUCAGGUAAAGCGAAUGAUUAGAGGAAUCGGGGACGUGUUGUCCUCGACCUAUUCUCAAACUUUAAAUG